rnacentral:lncRNA from 1 species
UCUGCCCACUUGUUUCCCACCUGACACUUGUGGUCACUUAAAUUUGGGAUGCUGUAGUGUGCUGGGGCUGCCACAACAAAGGACCACAGGGUGAGUGGCUCAAACAACAGAGAUUUACUAUCUCUCAGUUCUGAAGGCUAGAAGUCCAAGAUCAAGGUCUGGGCGGGGUGGGUUCCUUCAGGGGCUGUGAGGGGGCCUGGUCCAUGCCUCUCCCUUUGUCUCCUUAGGUGGCUGGCUCUGUCUCUGUCUUUUCAGGAUCCCCCCUGUACCUGUGACCCCCAUUUUAUAAGGACCCUGGUCAUAUUGCAUUAGGGGCCCCUCCCCCAGUGUGACCUCACUUUAACCAAUUACAUCUGCAAGGAUGCUGUUUCCUUUUUUUUAUUAAUUUUUUUUAUUAUUCAUUUAUGAUAGUCACAGAGAGAGAGACAGAGAGAGAGAGAGAGAGAGAGAGUCAGAGACACAGGCAGAGCGAGAAGCAGGCUCCAUGCACCGGGAGCCUGACGUGGGAUUCGAUCCCGGGUCUCCAGAAUCCCGCCCUGGGCCAAAGGCAGGCGCUAAACCGCUGCGCCACCCAGGGAUCCUAAGGAUGCUGUUUCCAAAUGAGGUCACACUUUGAAAUCUUGGGGCCAGACCUUGAACAUAUGAGUUUUGGGGGUAUUCAACCCACAACCGUCAGCAGAGGAGGGUUGGAUGGAGCGGGGCCAGGUGAGCAGGGCUGGAAAGGGGAGCAUGAGGGAGAACCCAGACAUUUCUGGGAGAAGGAACUGAUCUAAGCAGGCCUUUCUGGCAGGGGUGGCUCUAGAAGGUUCUUAAGAGACUGCCUGUGGCCACAGAAGGUAUGUGAGUGCAUUUGUGCAUGUGUUCGGGGGCUGCCUCCUGUUCAUCUCCAGGGUGGAGACAGGCUAAGACAUGUAGAGAAAGUGGAGGGCUGCACGAAGGGGGGCUGCUGUCAGGUUUGAUCUUCAGGGUUUGUUUUUGACUUUCUGCUGACUCUAGAAAUGGAUCCACAUGGGGGUGGGAGCGAGAGAGAGGCAGAAGAGGGAAGCUUUCAAAGCUGUAGCCAUGGGAAAUGUUUUUAUUUUCUGCUUGAAAGAAAAUGCCAAAGAAGAAUUAAAAAAAAAAAAAAAA